UACGUAGGGUGCAAGCGUUGUCCGGAAUUAUUGGGCGUAAAGAGCUCGUAGGCGGUCUGUCACGUCGGCUGUGAAAACCCGGGGCUCAACCCCGGGCCUGCAGUCGAUACGGGCAAACUAGAGUUCGGCAGGGGAGACUGGAAUUCCUGGUGUAGCGGUGAAAUGCGCAGAUAUCAGGAGGAACACCGGUGGCGAAGGCGGGUCUCUGGGCCGAUACUGACGCUGAGGAGCGAAAGCGUGGGGAGCGAACAGG
rnacentral:rRNA from 1 species